rnacentral:rRNA from 1 species
GACGAACGCUGGCGGCGUGCUUAACACAUGCAAGUCGAACGGAAAGGCCCUGCUUUUGUGGGGUGCUCGAGUGGCGAACGGGUGAGUAACCCGUGAGUAACCUGCCCUUGACUUUGGGAUAACUUCAGGAAACUGGGGCUAAUACCGGAUAGGAGCUCCUGCUGCAUGGUGGGGGUUGGAAAGUUUCGGCGGUUGGGGAUGGACUCGCGGCUUAUCAGCUUGUUGGUGGGGUAGUGGCUUACCAAGGCUUUGACGGGUAGCCGGCCUGAGAGGGUGACCGGCCACGUUGGGACUGCGAUACGGCCCAGACUCCUACGGGAGGCAGCAGUGGGGAAUAUUGCACAAUGGGCGGAAGCCUGAUGCAGCAACGCCGCGUGCGGGAUGACGGCCUUCGGGUUGUAAACCGCAUUCGCCUGUGACGAAGCGUUAGUGACGGUAAUGGGUAAAGAAGCACCGGCUAACUACGUG